AGAGUUUGAUCCUGGCUCAGAUUGAACGCUGGCGGCAGGCUUAACACAUGCAAGUCGAGCGGAAACGAUACCAGCUUGCUGGUGGGCGUCGAGCGGCGGACGGGUGAGUAAUACUUAGGAAUCUACCUAGUAGUGGGGGAUAGCUCGGGGAAACUCGAAUUAAUACCGCAUACGACCUACGGGAGAAAGGGGGCAGUUUACUGCUCUCGCUAUUAGAUGAGCCUAAGUCGGAUUAGCUAGAUGGUGGGGUAAAGGCCUACCAUGGCGACGAUCUGUAGCUGGUCUGAGAGGAUGAUCAGCCACACCGGGACUGAGACACGGCCCGGACUCCUACGGGAGGCAGCAGUGGGGAACAUUGGACAAUGGGGGAAACCCUGAUCCAGCCAUGCCGCGUGUGUGAGGAAGGCCUUUUGGUUGUAAAGCACUUUAAGCAGUGAAGAAGACUCCUCGGUUAAUACCCGUGGACGAUGACAUUAGCUGCAGAAUAAGCACCGGCUAACUCUGUGCCAGCAGCCGCGGUAAUACAGAGGGUGCAAGCGUUAAUCGGAAUUACUGGGCGUAAAGCGAGCGUAGGUGGCUUGAUAAGUCAGAUGUGAAAUCCCCGGGCUUAACCUGGGAACUGCAUCUGAAACUGUUAGGCUAGAGUAGGUGAGAGGAAGGUAGAAUUCCAGGUGUAGCGGUGAAAUGCGUAGAGAUCUGGAGGAAUACCGAUGGCGAAGGCAGCCUUCUGGCAUCAUACUGACACUGAGGCUCGAAAGCGUGGGUAGCAAACAGGAUUAGAUACCCUGGUAGUCCACGCCGUAAACGAUGUCUACUAGUCGUUGGGUCCCUUGAGGACUUAGUGACGCAGCUAACGCAAUAAGUAGACCGCCUGGGGAGUACGGCCGCAAGGUUAAAACUCAAUGAAUUGACGGGGGACGCACA
rnacentral:rRNA from 1 species